rnacentral:rRNA from 1 species
UACGUAGGGGGCAAGCGUUGUCCGGAUUUACUGGGCGUAAAGGAUGCGUAGGUGGAUGUUUAAGUGAGAUGUGAAAUACCCGAGCUCAACUUGGGUGCUGCAUUUCAAACUGGAUAUCUAGAGUGCAGGAGAGGAAAGCGGAAUUCCUAGUGUAGCGGUGAAAUGCGUAGAGAUUAGGAAGAACACCAGUGGCGAAGGCGGCUUUCUGGACUGUAACUGACGCUGAGGCAUGAAAGCGUGGGGAGCAAACAGG